rfam:Desulfotomaculum acetoxidans DSM 771, complete genome.
AGGAUGGUAUCCUCUGGGGAACCAUACCGCUUCAAUAAACUCAUAAUUCCAAGUAUUAUAACUUUUUUUCAAUUAAAUGAGGUAUGGUACCGCUUGGAGCCGGGACGGACCGAGACGGGGGU